rnacentral:rRNA from 1 species
AUGAAGACCGCAGCUAAAUGCGCGUCAGAAUGUGAACUGCAGGACACAUGAACACCGACACGUUGAACGCAUAUGGCGCAUCGGACGUUUCAACCCGACCGAUGCACACAUCCUUGAGUGCCUACCAAGUUAUGAUUCAAACCUAUUACCAAACUGACUGUCCCAUCUGCGCGAUGGGGUCACAACAGUCGCAUAAUGGCGUGCUCGGACCCGCACUGGACGGGACCUUGGGCGCUGAAAGUGAGAGAGCUAAUAAUAGAAGACAUACACAAUAUAUGAGGAAGUACGAGCGAUGGAACGGAAAUGCGCGACAAGCAGCAACGGUUCGAUCUCAAGUAUCAACCCGGGAUGAAACCUCCGCAGCCUAUCACCAGGUCAGCAACAGGGGGUCCUAGGUUGGCUCGGGUCGUGUAACACUUGCUGCCCAACGCAUCAUCAUCCGAUCUCACUCCAUCGUUGCGAACUAAAUAUGGGAAAUUAGCACCAAUCUCUCGCUAUGUAGGCCUCAAGUGAUGUGU